rnacentral:tRNA from 1 species
GCGGGCAUGGCGGAAUUGGUAGACGCGCCGGACUUAAAAUCCGUUGACCGUUUGGUCGUGCCGGUUCAAGUCCGGCUGCCCGCACCA